UACGUAGGGUGCAAGCGUUUGUCCGGAAUUAUUGGGCGUAAAGAGCUCGUAGGCGGUUUGUCGCGUCUGCCGUGAAAGUCCGGGGCUCAACUCCGGAUCUGCGGUGGGUACGGGCAGACUAGAGUGAUGUAGGGGAGACUGGAAUUCCUGGUGUAGCGGUGAAAUGCGCAGAUAUCAGGAGGAACACCGAUGGCGAAGGCAGGUCUCUGGGCAUUAACUGACGCUGAGGAGCGAAAGCAUGGGGAGCGAACAGG
rnacentral:rRNA from 1 species